UCAUUCAUCUGUAAAGGAAGAUGAGCAGGCAAGCUCAAAUGGAGACAGGUGUGAUGAACUGAAAAUGCAUACCCCAUGCUCAUGUAACAGGUUACAAUCGACUAUUCAUUUCACUGAAACACUUCUAUUUUUGUUGUUAUGACGUAAUAGAUUUUCUGUUUUUGUUGUUGUUCCUGUUUCUAUGUGGGCACUAAUGACGUGUCUGUUGUGCGUCGUGCGGAGACUGAUUGCGUGGUGACGUUAUGAUGCGUGCGCGAGACCCGGCCACUUUCAAUUCGAUGUGGCCAAGGAGAGACAGCGAAACCGUCCGAGUAAAACACCAGUCUCACGUCAUUUUAUGCACACAGGUUUUACAGCAACAGCCGCCCAACUCGGGAACGACCUCCAAGCGGUGUUGGGCGUGCCUUCGGGCUACGAACAGUUCCCGGUCUACAGCCG